rnacentral:rRNA from 1 species
GACGAACGCUGGCGGCGUGCUUAACACAUGCAAGUCGAACGAUGAAGCUGGAGCUUGCUCUAGCGGAUUAGUGGCGAACGGGUGAGUAACACGUGAGCAAUCUGCCCUUGACUCCGGGAUAACUGCGGGAAACUGUAGCUAAUACCGGAUACUUUCACCGGGGGGCAUCCUCUGGUGAUGAAAGAAUUUCGGUCAAGGAUGAGCUCGCGGCCUAUCAGCUAGUUGGUGAGGUAACGGCUCACCAAGGCGACGACGGGUAACCGGCCUGAGAGGGUGACCGGUCACACUGGGACUGAGACACGGCCCAGACUCCUACGGGAGGCAGCAGUGGGGAAUAUUGCCCACUGGGCGCAAGCCUGAUGCAGCAACGCCGCGUGAGGGAUGCCGUCCUUCGGGUUGUAAACCUCUUUUCGCCUGGAAGAAGCGAAAGUGACGGUACCUGCAGAAAAAGCACCGGCUAACUACGUGCCAGCCGCCGCGGUAA